rnacentral:miRNA from 11 species
AGAUGAUUUUAUCUGUGAUGUG